rnacentral:rRNA from 1 species
UACGUAGGUCCCGAGCGUUGUCCGGAUUUAUUGGGCGUAAAGCGAGCGCAGGUGGUUUAUUAAGUCUGGUGUAAAAGGCAGUGGCUCAACCAUUGUAUGCGUUGGAAACUGGUAGACUUGAGUGCAGGAGAGGAGAGUGGAGUUCCAUGUGUAGCGGUGAAAUGCGUAGAUAUAUGGAGGAACACCGGUGGCGAAAGCGGCUCUCUGGCCUGUAACUGACACUGAGGCUCGAAAGCGUGGGGAGCAAACAGG